UAGGGAAUCUUCGGCAAUGGGGGGAACCCUGACCGAGCAACGCCGCGUGAGUGAAGAAGGUUUUCGGAUCGUAAAGCUCUGUUGUUAAGGAAGAACGAGUGUGAGAAUGGAAAGUUCAUGCUGUGACGGUACUUAACCAGAAAGGGACGGCUAACUACGGGCCAGCAGCCGCGGUAAUACGUAGGUCCCGAGCGUUGUCCGGAUUUAUUGGGCGUAAAGCGAGCGCAGGCGGUCAAUUAAGUCUGAUGUGAAAGCCCCCGGCUCAACCGGGGAGGGUCAUUGGAAACUGGUUGACUUGAGUGCAGAAGAGGAGAGUGGAAUUCCAUGUGUAGCGGUGAAAUGCGUAGAUAUAUGGAGGAACACCAGUGGCGAAGGCGACUCUCUGGUCUGUAACUGACGCGGAGGCUCGAAAGCGUGGGUAGCAAACAGG
rnacentral:rRNA from 1 species